rnacentral:lncRNA from 1 species
GGGAUCCUUAUCAGGGGAAAGAUAGAAAACAGCAAAAAAAAAAGCUAAGGGAGAAAACCAGCAAAGGGGAAGAGAGAAACACAAGCAAAAAAAAAGAAACCUACCGAGGGGACAGAGUGACGGCGGAAAGAAAAAUCUGGGCCAAAGAGAGAGGGACCAAAGAAAGGGUAAAAACUGAGGAGAAGAUAGAGAGCUUUUGGAGAGUAAGCCGACGGGAAAGGAAGAAAGAAACUGACGAGGGAGGUUUGAGAGAGUGCGGGAAGGUUGAGCAAGCGUCAGGGAGAGCUGGGAAGAAACCAUCAACGUAACAAGAAGAGGGGAAAUCGAAAAUCUGGAGGCCCAUCGCAGCAGAAAGGAGGAACUUUCCUUAGUUUCCUUUGUCCGGUGUCAGUGAUUCAUUGCUCCUCCAUUCAAGCGUUGUUUGUUCACGAUUCCAAGGAGUGAAGGUAACCUCUCAUCUUUUUCGGUCAUGAUUCAGCAGGCUUUCAUUUGACUGUUAAACCAUUUUUUUAAUUUGCUGUAUGCAUCUUGGGAGAUGGGGAACCCGUGUCAUGGCUAUCAAUCUUGGAUGUCCGCUGAUGAAACUGCAAAUUUUAGUUGAUUUCGGAUGAUACCACCAUAGAUUUCACCCGAAACCAGAAACCAUUUGUUUUUCCCCUGU